UCUUCCGAGGAGCGUUGCAACCUCCCGCCGCGGGCAGGCCAGGCUCGGAAGACCCCCCGAUGCAACCGCGCUCACCUGCA
rnacentral:ncRNA from 2 species